rnacentral:lncRNA from 1 species
AGCGGUGUGGGGCAUGUUCUCAGCCUGUGGCUCCACCCAGGGCAAGGAGGUUCCUUCCAAUGAUCCAGGAGUUCGGAAGUGGGGACCACCAGAAGUGGCCGAGUGGCUCCAGAACAACCGUCUGGAUCAAUAUGCACGUCACUUUGCUGAGUUUGAUGGAAAACUGUUCCAGAAACUUCUUCACAUCUAUGAACUGGCUCCAGAAAUGUUCCAAGUAGUGAUCAGAGAAGUGGCUCCACUGACUUGUCAGGAUCUCAUGCGUCUCUUGAGGGCCGUUGAUCGUCUCCUGGAAUGAGCUGAACCUGGUGAGGAAGACAUGAAGUGAGGCUUGGUGUCUGAUCACCAUGUGUUCUCUUUAUAUUCUGUUUAUUUCAGUAAAAUUCUUUUAUAAUCGGAUGUUGUUUGGCUUGUGAUUGACGAAUAUAAUGUUUUAACACCUUCCUAAAGCUCUUUUUAAUUCAUAUUUAUUUAUUUGCUCUUUUAUUACUAUUCACACUCUGUUUCAGUUUGUACCCAUUUUAAUUUAUUUUUCUCCUUUCUCUUCAUGUCUUGCAGAAAACCAGACUCUCUCUCAUCUCUUGAACCAACAUCAUCCUCACUGAAACCCUUCCUGCAUCUUCUUCUUCACUUCGACCUGCAUGCACUGCAGUCUUCACCAUCACACAAUUCCACACCGAGCAUUUACACUCCACCCACAUUGCUCUGACCACACCCACAUUACCUUUACCAUGCCCACAUUACCUUUACCACACCCCUAUUACCUUUACCACACCCCUAUUACCAUUACCAUGCCCCGAUUACCUUGACCACGCCCCUAUUACCAUUAACACACCCCUAUUACCUUUACCACACCCCUAUUACCUUUACCACACCCCUAUUACCAUUACCACGCCCCAAUUACCUUUACCACACCCCGAUUACCUUUACCACACCCCGACUACCUUUACCACGCCCAUUUACACUCCACCCACAUUGCUCUGACCACACCCACAUUACCUUUACCACGCCCACAAUUUACACUCCACCCACAUUGUUCUGACCACACCCCUAUUACCUUUACCACGCCCAUUUACACUCCACCCACAUUUCUCUGACCACACCCCUAUUACCUUUACCACGCCCACCAUUUACACUCCACCCACAUUCACACACAAUACACAGACUGGGAGAACAACACAUACAUGGAGUGGGAUUUACUAUAAUCACAAAAACAAUAAUUGAUUUCUU